rnacentral:miRNA from 14 species
UUUUCUUCAGGAUAGCUGGCGCUCUCGCACACGAACCCACGCUGUUUUAUCCGGUAAAGCGAAUGAUUAGAGGUCUUGCGGCCGAAACGAUCUCAAC